UAUAUAAAACUAUCCACUUUCAUAUUGUAAAGAUAAAAAUUGUCCACUAAGAUAAAAAUGAUAAAAACUGUCCACUUUUUGAUUGAAAAGACAAAAAUACCCUCCUUUAAAUAUAUGCUCUCUCUCUCCACUCUCUUUCUCUCUCUUCUCCCUCACGGCCCUUCCCCCUUCUCUCUCUCUCUCCCUCCCUCCCUCCCUUCGAUCUCAGAUCGCCGCCUCUGCCUCGUCGCCUCCGCCAUCUCCUGGUUCGCCCCCCGCCGCGAAGCGCCGCUGCCCCCGGCCUCGUCGCCUCUGCCAUCUUCUACUUCAACCCCCGCCGAGAAGCGCCGCCGCCCAGGCCUCGGCGCGAGCGAGCCUGCCGCUGCUUGAGCUACCUCCGUUCUAGGGCUUCUGGUGUCAGAAUUGAGCCACACCUCCGCGAGCGAGCCUGCCGCUGCUCGCGCUACCGCCGCGCCAAUCGAUCGAGCGCCGCCUGAAAUUCCUGGCGAGGCAGCUCCUCCAGCGAAGUCGUCGUUGACUGCCGUCGUUCUCCCUCUUUCUCAUCUCUUCCGGCGACCACAGCUCCUGCUACAGCCGCCGCUCUCAACAAUUCUCCCUCUCUGCUCGAGCUCCAGCGCCUGAGCCCUAGCUCCCCCAAAUCCAAUCGCCCUCACCCCUACUCUUAUCUCUCUCCGUCUAUGGCCGAACGGCAACGGCAGCGCCGCCGCGUCCUGGCCUCCCUCUGCUCUCUCAACCUCCAGCACCUACAACUGCUCUAGAUCCUCUCCACCCGAUCCAGAGGUUAUCUGGCCUCGACUUGAUUUGUUGGGAUGAUUGGAUCUGUUCUUGAGAUGUUGUGCUUUGGUUUGGAUGAGUAAUAGUGUAAGGGCAGAGUAGAAUUUGAGACAUAUGUGAAUGAUUUAAGAUCUGUUGAGAUUGUUGAUUGGGAGGUUGAAUGCUGAGAUUGUGGAUUCGAAGGAAUUGUUGUAUUUUGAUUGUAGAUUGAAUUGAUUCGGAUAAUAUUUUGUUGUAUUUUGAUUGUUGAUUUAGAGGAAUUGAUGUAUUUUGAUGGUA